rnacentral:rRNA from 1 species
UGCAAACGUUGCUCGGAAUUAUUGGGCGUAAAGCGCACGUAGGCGGCAUUGCAAGUCGGAUGUGAAAUCUUAUGGCUUAACCAUAAAAGUGCAUCCGAAACUGCAGUGCUUGAGUACUUAAGAGGAUCGCGGAAUUCCCGGUGUAGAGGUGAAAUUCGUAGAUAUCGGGAGGAACACCAGUGGCGAAGGCGGCGAUCUGGGAAGAUACUGACGCUGAGGUGCGAAAGCGUGGGGAGCAAACAGG